rnacentral:tRNA from 1 species
GCCCAGGUGGCGGAACUGGUAGACGCGCAGGACUCAAAAUCCUGUAUCCGCAAGGAUGUGAGAGUUCGAGUCUCUCCCUGGGCA